rnacentral:rRNA from 1 species
CCUACGGGCGGCAGCAGUGAGGAAUAUUGGUCAAUGGGCGCGAGCCUGAACCAGCCAAGUCGCGUGAGGGAGGACGGCCCUACGGGUUGUAAACCUCUUUUGCCGGGGAGCAACGGGCGCCACGUGUGGCGUCACUGAGAGUACCCGGAGAAAAAGCAUCGGCAAACACCGUGCCAGCAGCCGCGGUAAUACGGGGGAUGCGAGCGUUAUCCGGAUUCAUUGGGUUAAAGGGGUGCGUAGGCGGAUCGUUAAGUCAGUGGUCCAAUUGAGGGGCUCAACCCCUUCCCGCCAUUGAAACUGGCGUUCUUGAGUGGAAGAGAAGUAUGCGGAAUGCGUGGUGUAGCGGUGAAAUGCAUAGAUAUCACGCAGAACCCCGAUUGCGAAGGCAGCAUGCCGGCUUCCGACUGACGCUGAAGCACGAAAGCGUGGGGAUCGAACAGGAUUAGAUACCCGAGUAGUC